GAGUGAAAGAUGUACAAAUGAAGAAACCGAGGCUGAGAGAGCUUUAUUCAAUUUUGAGUUUUCUCCAGAAUCAGGUUCCAGGAGUCAGCAAGUUCUCUUAACUGAAAUUUCCCACGCUGGUCUAAGGAUUCAAGAUCCUAUAAAGGUCCCAGAGAGUUGGCAGCCACAGCCCUGCUCCACCCGCCAUUUUGGAAGAUUCACUCUUCUUGCUUUUUACCUUUUGUCAAAUCUUGCCUACAAUACAAGUAUCUCUUUCACUUAUCUGCCAAUUAGUGGGGGUUGAAGAACUUCCCCCUCCUCUUUGGGGAAACUGCUAAAUCCCAUCUGUUCUGUGAAGUGGUCCAGAGACAAGAAAUGAGUGACCAUCUUUUACAUUGUCCUCAUCCAUUAAACCUUUAAUUUAUUUUUUAAAA
rnacentral:lncRNA from 1 species